rnacentral:rRNA from 1 species
AGUGAACGCUGGCGGCGUGCCUAAUACAUGCAAGUCGAACGAUGAAGCUCUAGCUUGCUAGAGUGGAUUAGUGGCGCACGGGUGAGUAAUGCAUAGAUAACAUGCCCUUUAGUCUAGGAUAGCCAUUGGAAACGAUGAUUAAUACUGGAUACUCCUUACGAGGGAAAGUUUUUCGCUAAAGGAUUGGUCUAUGUCCUAUCAGCUUGUUGGUGAGGUAAUGGCUCACCAAGGCUAUGACGGGUAUCCGGCCUGAGAGGGUGAACGGACACACUGGAACUGAGACACGGUCCAGACUCCUACGGGAGGCAGCAGUAGGGAAUAUUGCUCAAUGGGGGAAACCCUGAAGCAGCAACGCCGCGUGGAGGAUGAAGGUUUUCGGAUUGUAAACUCCUUUUGUUAGAGAAGAUAAUGACGGUAUCUAACGAAUAAGCACCGGCUAACUCCGUGCCAGCAGCCGCGGUAAUACGGAGGGUGCAAGCGUUACUCGGAAUCACUGGGCGUAAAGAGCGCGUAGGCGGGAUAGCAAGUCAGAUGUGAAAUCCUAUGGCUUAACCAUAGAACUGCAUUUGAAACUGUUAUUCUAGAGUAUGGGAGAGGUAGGUGGAAUUCUUGGUGUAGGGGUAAAAUCCGUAGAGAUCAAGAGGAAUACUCAUUGCGAAGGCGACCUGCUAGAACAUAACUGACGCUGAUGCGCGAAAGCGUGGGGAGCAAACAGGAUUAGAUACCCUGGUAGUCCACGCCCUAAACGAUGAAUGCUAGUUGUUGUGGAGCUUGUCUCUGCAGUAAUGCAGCUAACGCAUUAAGCAUUCCGCCUGGGGAGUACGGUCGCAAGAUUAAAACUCAAAGGAAUAGACGGGGACCCGCACAAGCGGUGGAGCAUGUGGUUUAAUUCGAAGAUACACGAAGAACCUUACCUAGGCUUGACAUUGAUAGAAUCCGCUAGAGAUAGUGGAGUGCUAGCUUGCUAGAACUUGAAAACAGGUGCUGCACGGCUGUCGUCAGCUCGUGUCGUGAGAUGUUGGGUUAAGUCCCGCAACGAGCGCAACCCUCGUCCUUAGUUGCUAACUAUUCGGUAGAGCACUCUAAGGAGACUGCCUUCGCAAGGAGGAGGAAGGUGAGGAUGACGUCAAGUCAUCAUGGCCCUUACGCCUAGGGCUACACACGUGCUACAAUGGGAAGCACAAGGAGAUGCAAUAUUGUGAAAUGGAGCAAAUCUAUAAAACUUCUCUCAGUUCGGAUUGUAGUCUGCAACUCGACUACAUGAAGCUGGAAUCGAUAGUAAUCGUAAAUCAGCUAUGUUACGGUGA